rnacentral:lncRNA from 1 species
AGUGGAGUCAAGACACCUUAAGAACAAUCUGAGUCGUAAUGAAUUUAAUGUAAUUAAGAGACUGGCUCCCAGGGAAAACUUGAAGCUACAACUAAACAUCCCUUUCAAAGCUCACACUGAAUUAUUUGAGGGGCAAAGCAGAAGCUGGCUCACAGUCAAUUCUUCAAACUCCGCACAGGUCCUAGCAGCCUCCGUACAGUUGCUCCUAAAAAGACAUCACUGCCACACUCAGCAUGGAAAUUAAAAAGGUUUUGAUCUCCACAAAAAUGUCAGGAGUAAGAGAGAAGCGUGAUACAACUGAAACCCAAGUCCUCCAAUCAGUUGUUGACUGCCCCAAGCACGGCUGAGCCAAUCCUUGUAUGCAUGGAGCAAAGGCUGUGGGGACUAGCAAUGCUUCAAGGACGCUAACCUCAUAAUGUCAGCACUCACUCCAAAGAGGAACUGUGUCCACAAGGCCACAGAAUCCACAGGGACAGCUCAGCCGCUGUGCAGGAGACGCCACCAUCUCCAGAGAUCAGUUUCAGAGAAGACUUUGGGCUGACUAUUCAGGUCCAUUCAGACCACUGUCCACUGCCCACUGCAACUGGUCAGAGACUAUCACCUUUCUGAGUCAAGGAAGAAAAAAAAAAACCACUUUCCUGGCUUUGGUUUGCAUAGGAAGCAGAGUCGUGUAGCUACUACCAGCAAAUGUUUUACUAAGUUUCAGAAUCUUAUCAAGAGGCGCAUUAACGACAAACAUGAAACUGUGACCAUCACCCAGGAACGGGAUGUUCAGAGCGAUGACCAAGACGAAGACGCCAGGGACAACAGCUAGCCAUUCAGGCAUCUGCCAGGCUCACAUGUCUGAAUGCCAGGAUUAGACUCCAAGGCUGCAGCCCCAAGUCUAGACCAAUCUCAGACCUUACCAGUUUCAUAAAGCUUACGUGCUAUUGGCAUGAAAGAGGAAGCAGUCUCUGUAUAUGGAAAUAAAUGAAUGGGAAGUGGCUUAAAAUUUCCAAAUACAGUUUUUCUUUCCUCUGCUUCCAAGAAAGUCUUGAUAUUAAAAGCAGCAAUUUGGGGAAAGUUGACUUCUAAACC